ensembl:lncRNA
GGGAGGGGCGGGGAAGGGGAGGCGGUCAGCUCGGUCCCCGCCCGCCGUCCCGCAGGAAGUGCGCCCCCGGCCCUCUGCGGCGGUCGGGCGAGCGUCCAAGCUCGUCUCCCGGAGGCCGGCCCCUUGGGGUCUGCGCGCACACCCCGGAGCUAAUGUUUAACGGAAAUCAGAGGUGGAAACAGACGUUGGAGGGCCCUGUUCUAUUCCAGCCGCGUUUACUGCUGCGCCCAGGGGCAGCCACGCUUGGGACUGGGGCGGGGGCUUUAGGGACACGCACGCUUUUGGCUGGGCUGGACUCUGACCUUCGUUAUCCGGAUGGAGAUAGUCAAGGCGUUACUUGGCUAUUUGAAGAUGGAAGUUCACCUUCUUUCUCCACUUUACCUGGCUUCACCGCUUCUGUGUUCAGGGCCAAUGUUCUUUGUGGUGGAAAACUGUCACUGAAAUAGAGCAAGUGUUCCGGACUAUAUGCCUGAGCUUCUACUAAAAGGUUUUCAAAGCAACGUGGUGGCAAGGAGGAAAUGUGAAGUGUCUGCAUCGGAGCAAAAGGUUGUACUGUUGACUGGAAUUUAUGGAGAGAAGCUUGGGUUUCUAGGGCUCAGCUCUGAGGAAAAUGCACUGGAUGUGUGUGCAUAGGGGAGGUACCACCAGGACCCAAGAACACAGCAUGGGGCCUUCCCCCACCUCCCAGUCCCCUCACCGCUGUCCAUAAGCUGGAACCUUUCAGAAGACAGGGCUUUGGGCCCCAGAAUUCGCCUUGUGAGGCCCUGAUGCCUGGAGCUGCUACUGCCAUCUUGUGGCCACCAGCGAAGCGUUCCCAAUUCCCCGAGGAUCACCGAGGGCAUAAAUGUAGUGUGUCUUUGAUGGCAUCAUUGAGCCACUGCACUUAACUCCGGCCUUCUUAAAUGGAAAAUGCACAUCCCAGGACUUCCCUGGUGGUCCAGUGGCUAAGACCCUGCACUCCCAAUGCAGGGGGACCACGUUCAAUCUCGGGUCAGGGAACUAGAUCCCACAUGCGGCAACUCAGUUUGAAUGCUGCAACUAAAGAUUCUGCAUGCCUUGUCAAAAGAUUGAAGAUCUUGUGAGCUGCAACCAAGUUAAGACCCAGCGCAGCCAAAUAAAUAAAUAUUUUUAAACACACACACACACAUCCCUAAAGUCUCAGGCUGUUUAAUGGGGAUCCCUGUAACGUGCAGCUGAACUCAUCCUUAGGGAUUCAGAAGAUGAGGAAUACAAGCAGGCAGGGGAAAGUCUAAGAAGAGAGCAUGCCUUGGUGGCAAGCAACGUUCCCAGCAGCAGCAGCAUCCUUCAAUAACGUGCAUUCCCAAACAGACAAGGUGAAAACCAGUUCUUGGGUGGCGGUGAGGGGAGCAUAUAGUCUUAGACAUUACAAUGGCUGUGGCCUGGCAAAGCUCAGCCCCACCCAACAAAAUCUGAUUCCUUAGUAUUUAGUUAUUUUUGCUUGCUGCUGCUAAGUCACUUCAGUCGUAUCUGAC